GUCUCGAUGGUGUAGUUGGUUAUCACAUCUGCCUAACACGCAGAAGGUCUCCAGUUCAAUCCUGGAUUGAGACA
rnacentral:tRNA from 1 species